rnacentral:misc_RNA from 1 species
AUGGACAGGCACAUUUGAUUCCUCCUCAAUGCCCAGACUGUUGGUGCUAAAGUAAUCUCUGUUUACUCCAUUUAUAUUUCCUGCUCCGUAAAUCUGGGAUUUGCAAAUUAUCAAUUGAAGAUAGAUUAAAAAAUCUGUCAAUUUCUUGGAGAACUUAGGAUUGAUGAUUUGCUUCAUCCUUGCAAGGAUAAUUGGAGAUUUCAUUACUUAUACAAACAUCUACCUUCUUACACAUUUCGAUGUUUGCUUGACAAAUUAAGUUUACCUUCUUACAGAGUUCCACAUUUUCUUGGUGAAGGAAGUUUCCCUGAAAUAAAACAAGAAAGUUUAGCUACUUGAAUUGGAGUACUGUGAAAGGAAAAUUAGUGGCCA